rnacentral:rRNA from 1 species
AGUGAACGCUGGCGGUAGGCCUAACACACGCAAGUCGAACGGCAGCACAGGAGAGCUUGCUCUCUGGGUGGCGAGUGGCGGACGGGUGAGGAAUACAUCGGAAUCUCCUUUUUCGUGGGGGAUAACGUAGGGAAACUUACGCUAAUACCGCAUACGACCUACGGGUGAAAGCAGGGGGCCUUCGGGCCUUGCGCGAUUGAAUGAGCCGAUGUCGGAUUAGCCGGUUGGCGGGGUAAAGGCCCACCAAGGCGACGAUCCGUAGCUGGUUUGAGAGGAUGAUCAGCCGCACUGGAACUGAGACACGGUCCAGACUCCUACGGGAGGCAGCAGUGGGGAAUAUUGGACAAUGGGCGCAAGCCUGAUCCAGCCAUACCGCGUGGGUGAAGAAGGCCUUCGGGUUGUAAAGUCCUUUUGUUGGGAAAGAAAUCCAGCUGGCUAAUACCCGGUUGGGAUGACGGUACCCAAAGAAUAAGCACCGGCUAACUUCGUGCCAGCAGCCGCCGCGG